rnacentral:rRNA from 1 species
AGCAGUCGCCACGGUAAUACGAACCGUCCGAACGUUAUUCGGAAUUACUGGGCUUAAAGCGCGUGUAGGCGGCCCGGUACGUCCGGUGCUGAAAUCCCCCGGCUUAACCGGGGAAGUGGCACGGAUACGACCGGGCUGGAGGGAGGUAGGGGGGUCUGGAACUUCCGGUGGAGCGGUGAAAUGCGUUGAGAUCGGAAGGAACGCCCGUGGCGAAAGCGAGGCCCUGGACCUUUUCUGACGCUGAGACGCGAAAGCCAGGGGAGCGAACGGGAUUAGAUACCCCAGUAGUCCCUGUCUCUUAUU